rnacentral:ncRNA from 2 species
UUAGCUCAAUAGUAACUCGGUUCUGGUGGGGGUCAGCCAUCAGAGGUAACGGGGAAAGUCCGGUGUAAAUCCGGCGCUGUCCCGCAGCUGUAAUGAAGCUGAUGCUUCAAAGUCAGAAUGCCCGCCGAAAGUCACACACAAAC